rnacentral:lncRNA from 1 species
AUGGAGCGGCUGACUGAGACAGUCAAGGAGAUGCUGAGCCGGCAGAUGGACCAGGAGAAGGUCCAGCAACAGCUUAGUGAAGAGGUGGCCUCCAAGCUGGAUCACACGGAGCUGGGGGCUUUCCGGAAACAGCUGGAGGGGCACUGGAAGAACAUCCAGAAGCAGCUCCAGAAGGAGUCACGAGCAGAGGCUGAUGACGCAGCUGGGACUAAGAGCCAGCUGACCCAUCACCACUGCUUGUCCUGCGACCGACCCCGUGACAUGCGGGUGCCUGGCCCGCAAAUCGUGACAGUCCCAUCCCUGCCGCCGCUGUCCCCCUGCCUCGCCGAGCCCCCCAGUACCACUCCCAGGCUGGAGCAAGGAGACCAGCAAGGCCACAGGUAG